rnacentral:rRNA from 1 species
ACACAUGCAAGUCGAACGCUAUAGCAAUAUAGAGUGGCAGACGGGUGAGUAACACGUGGGAACCUUCCUAUUAGUACGGAAUAGCCCAGGGAAACCCGGAUUAAUACCGUAUACGCCCUAAGGGGGAAAGAUUUAUCGCUAAUAGAUGGGCCCGCGUAAGAUUAGCUAGUUGGUGAGGUAAUGGCUCACCAAGGCUACGAUCUUUAGCUGGUCUGAGAGGAUGAUCAGCCACACUGGAACUGAGACACGGUCCAGACUCCUACGGGAGGCAGCAGUGGGGAAUAUUGGACAAUGGGCGCAAGCCUGAUCCAGCCAUGCCGCGUGAAUGAUGAAGGCCUUCGGGUUGUAAAGUUCUUUUAGUGGAGAAGAUAAUGACGGUAUCCACAGAAAAAGCUCCGGCUAACUUCGUGCCAGCAGCCGCGGUAAUACGAAGGGGGCUAGCGUUGUUCGGAAUUACUGGGCGUAAAGCGUUUGUAGGCGGUUAUCCAAGCUAGUGGUGAAAUCCCAGGGCUCAACCCUGGAAUUGCCAUUAGAACUAGAUAGCUAGAGAAUGUUAGAGGUAAGUGGAAUUCCUAGUGUAGGAGUGAAAUCCGUAGAGAUUAGGAGGAAUAUCGAUGGCGAAGGCAGCUUACUGGGACAUUUCUGACGCUGAGAAACGAAAGCGUGGGUAGCAAACAGGAUUAGAUACCCUGGUAGUCCACGCCCUAAACGAUGGGUGCUAGUCGUCGGAACUUAAGUUUCGGUGACGUAGCUAACGCGUUAAGCACCCCGCCUGGGGAGUACGGUCGCAAGAUUAAAACUCAAAGGAAUUGACGGGGACCCGCACAAGCGGUGGAGCAUGUGGUUUAAUUCGAGGCUACGCGAAGAACCUUACCAGCUCUUGACAUCCUGAUCGCCGCUCUUGUAAUGAGAGCUUCAGUUCGGCUGGAUCAGUGACAGGUGCUGCAUGGCUGUCGUCAGCUCG